rnacentral:rRNA from 1 species
GAGUUUGUCGUGGCUCAGAACGAACGCUGGCGGCAUGCCUAACACAUGCAAGUCGAACGGGAUCCUGGCUUCGGUCAGGUGAGAGUGGCGGACGGGUGAGUAACACGUGGGAAUCUGCCUUUUGGUUCGGGAUAACCGCGGGAAACUGCGGCUAAUACCGGAUGCUCCCGAGAGGGAAAAGAUUUAUCGCCAGAAGAGGAGCCCGCGUCCGAUUAGGUAGUUGGUAGGGUAAUGGCCUACCAAGCCAACGAUCGGUAGCUGGUCUGAGAGGAUGAUCAGCCACACUGGGACUGAGAUACGGCCCAGACUCCUACGGGAGGCAGCAGUGGGGAAUAUUGGACAAUGGGGGCAACCCUGAUCCAGCAAUGCCGCGUGAGUGAUGAAGGCCUUAGGGUUGUAAAGCUCUUUUGCCAGGGAAGAUGAUGACUGUACCUGGAGAAUAAGCUCCGGCUAACUUCGUGCCAGCAGCCGCCGCGGUAAC